rnacentral:rRNA from 1 species
GACGAACGCUGGCGGCGUGCUUAACACAUGCAAGUCGAACGGAAAGGCCCUGCUUUUGUGGGGUGCUCGAGUGGCGAACGGGUGAGUAACACGUGAGUAACCUGCCCUUGACUUUGGGAUAACUUCAGGAAACUGGGGCUAAUACCGGAUAGGAGCUCCUGCUGCAUGGUGGGGGUUGGAAAGUUUCGGCGGUUGGGGAUGGACUCGCGGCUUAUCAGCUUGUUGGUGGGGUAGUGGCUUACCAAGGCUUUGACGGGUAGCCGGCCUGAGAGGGUGACCGGCCACAUUGGGACUGAGAUACGGCCCAGACUCCGACGGGAGGCAGCAGGGGGGAAUAUUGCACAAGGGGCGGAAGCCUGAUGCAGCAACGCCGGGUGCGGGAUGACGGCCUUCGGGUUGCAAACCGCUUUCGCCUGUGACGAAGCGUGAGUGACGGUAAUGGGUAAAGAAGCACCGGCUAACUACGUG